CCUACGGGUGGCAGCAGUGGGGAAUAUUGCACAAUGGGGGAAACCCUGAUGCAGCAACGCCGCGUGAGUGAAGAAGUAUUUCGGUAUGUAAAGCUCUAUCAGCAGGGAAGAAAAUGACAGUACCUGACUAAGAAGCCCCGGCUAACUACGUGCCAGCAGCCGCGGUAAUACGUAGGGGGCAUGCGUUAUCCGGAUUUACUGGGUGUAAAGGGAGCGUAGACGGCUGCGCAAGUCAGAAGUGAAAGCCCUCGGCUUAACUGAGGAACUGCAACUAAAACUACUUCCCUUGAGUACUGGAGAGGAAAGUGGAAUUCCUAGUGUAGCGGUGAAAUGCGUAGAUAUUAGGAGGAACACCAGUGGCGAAGGCGACUUUCUGGACAGUAACUGACGUUGAGGCACGAAAGUGUGGGGAGCAAACAGGAUUAGAUACCCCAGUAGUC
rnacentral:rRNA from 1 species